rnacentral:rRNA from 1 species
UACGAAGGGGGCUAGCGUUGCUCGGAAUUACUGGGCGUAAAGCGCACGUAGGUGGCGACGUAAGUCGGGUGUGAAAGCCCCGGGCUCAACCUGAGAAUUGCAUUCGAGACUGCAUUGCUGGAGUACGGAAGAGGAGGGCGGAAUUCCCGGUGUAGCGGUGAAAUGCGUAGAUAUCGGGAGGAACAUCAGUGGCGAAGGCGGCCCUCUGGUCCAGUACUGACACUCAAGUGCGAAAGCGUGGGGAGCAAACAGG